GCCUUCGUGGCUUAGUCGGGAAAACACCCGACUAUGAUACGGUAGGAUUCGGGUUCGAGCCUUGGCGAAGGCA